AACUCGGCCGUGAAACCAGACAGCGCCGAUGGUACUAUUGCUCAAGCAAUGGAAGAGUAGGUCGCCGCCAGGC
rnacentral:rRNA from 1 species